GGAUUCGCUAGUAAUCGCGCAUCAGCCAUGGCGCGGUGAAUACGUUCCCGGGCCUUGUACACACCGCCCGUCAAGCCAUGGGAGCCGGGGGUGCUUGAAGUGCGUCGCCGCAAGGCGCGCCCUAGAGCAAAACCGGUGACUGGGGCUAAGUCGUAACAAGGUAUC
rnacentral:rRNA from 1 species